CUCCUACAUCCUCUGGCUCUCAUUCAGGAAAAUUCCUACUGAAAAUCAACGAGAGAUUAAUACUGUCUAGGCUGUAAACAAGCAGCUGCUGAAGACACUGGCCACAUGGCAGCAUGCUGACAGUUGCAGGGAGAACUUUAUUCCUGUCUUCUGGUCAAAUGAAGAGCAACAGCCUGCCUGAUGGUCAUAGGCUAAGAGCAAAAUGGCUGGCCUCACCUAAGCAAGAUUUCCUCAGAAAGACCAGGUAUUGGCCACUGCCAGAGGCAUGAAACCAGACUAGAUGGACCAGAGAUACACCCGCCAACAUCAGAAAGCUACAAAUGGGAACAUCUGGGGAGAAAAAAACAGGGACAAGACCUUUCUUUUUCUUGAAAUGCAUUGGACCGGGAAAGCUUUUUGGAGGGACUAAGUAGAACAAUGAUGUAUAUAUCUAACUAAAAAUACCCUCCCUCCUAUAUAUAGUGAUUGGCAUGACUGAGCACUUUGUAAAUGGAUCAGUAGAGGCACUGCUCUGAUCUGGAGCAGUAAAUCCUAUGUGAUGAUGUGGGGAUCUAUCUACGUAUGAGUGAGAUUAUUAACACUCUGUAUGGCUCUGUGCCAGGUUGCAAACUCCAUUUUGAAUGGUUUGUCCUUCCAUCUCCAUGUUGGACUGAAAUUCCAAGGUAUGGGGGCCUGGGUCUAAUACUGGAGGGUUGUUAAAUCUUGAUCAUCUUCUAUUCAAACAGAAUCACCCUUGCACAUAGAGCUGUUGCUGCCCAGAAGAACCAGUCUGGGCUGGUAACCAAGUAACGGAUCACCUGGUGAGGGAUUUUGAUCACCUGAUGAGACUGAACAAAGAGUCACUUGACAAAGGGGGUGGAUGGUUAUAGACUAGCAGGUCUCUCCGCAGCCAUUUUAAGGAGCACAAGUGAUCACAAGCAGAAGCAGUGAAAGCCUGAGCAGGAGAGUGGAAGGGCAUUGACGAUAGAGGUCAGAGCAAGAGAAAAGAUUCAGAAAAGAAGCUGUGUACUGCAAGGGGGUCCUGGACUGCUUGAAGGACUCUGCCACAGCCCAGAGCACUCUCCUGGGUGGUGAGGAAACUGAGGCAGGGAAAGGUAUAUAGAUGUUUUUAUUAUUUUGUAUAGAUCUAUGUAUUUCUUUUGCUACUUAA